rnacentral:rRNA from 1 species
AGUGAACGCUGGCGGUAGGCCUAACACAUGCAAGUCGAACGGCAGCACAGUAAGAGCUUGCUCUUACGGGUGGCGAGUGGCGGACGGGUGAGGAAUACAUCGUAAUCUACUUUUUCGUGGGGGAUAACGUAGGGAAACUUACGCUAAUACCGCAUACGACCUACGGGUGAAAGCAGGGGAUCUUCGGACCUUGCGCGAUUGAAUGAGCCGAUGUCGGAUUAGCUAGUUGGCGGGGUAAAGGCCCACCAAGGCGACGAUCCGUAGCUGGUCUGAGAGGAUGGUCAGCCACACUGGAACUGAGACACGGUCCAGACUCCUACGGGAGGCAGCAGUGGGGAAUAUUGGACAAUGGGCGCAAGCCUGAUCCAGCCAUACCGCGUGGGUGAAGAAGGCCUUCGGGUUGUAAAGCCCUUUUGUUGGGAAAGAAAAGCAGCAGGUUAAUACCCCGCUGUUCUGACGGUACCCAAAGAAUAAGCACCGGCUAACUUCGUG